UACGUAGGGUGCAAGCGUUGUCCGGAAUUAUUGGGCGUAAAGAGCUCGUAGGCGGUCUGUCGCGUCUGCUGUGAAAACCUGAGGCUCAACCUCAGGCCUGCAGUCGAUACGGGCAGACUAGAGUUCGGUAGGGGAGACUGGAAUUCCUGGUGUAGCGGUGAAAUGCGCAGAUAUCAGGAGGAACACCGGUGGCGAAGGCGGGUCUCUGGGCCGAAACUGACGCUGAGGAGCGAAAGCGUGGGGAGCGAACAGG
rnacentral:rRNA from 1 species